rnacentral:rRNA from 1 species
UAAUUAAAAUGAUUCUUUUANAGGGUUUUCCUCACUCGGUGUGAUUCCCGUNKANCUUGAGUAAAUUAGAGUGUUCAAAGCAAACAGAUAUAGCAUUGCGCGUUUGAAUANUGCAGCAUGGAAUAACAAAAUUGAACAAGUCAGAAUUUUGUUSUUUUUUCUUAUUUUGGCUUAGUUACGAUUAAUAGGAGUAGCUUGGGGGCAUUUGUAUUCAGAUGUCAGAGGUGAAAUUCUUAGAUUUUCUGGAGACAAACAACUGCGAAAGCAUUUGCCUAAAAUACUUCCAUUAAUCAAGAACGAAAGUUAAGGGAGUGAAGACGAUCAGAUACCGUCGUAAUCUUAACCAUAAACUAUGCCGACUAGGCUUUGGAUGAAAGAUUUUAAAAUAAGAAUUUUCUCUUCGGAGUUUAUUCUUAGAUUGCUUCCUUCAGUGCCUUAUGAGAAAUCAAAGUCUUUGGGUUCUGGGGCGAGUAUUCGCGCAAGCGAGAAAGUUAAAAGAAUUGACGGAAGGGCACCACCAGGCGUGGAGCUUGCGGCUUAAUUUGACUCAACACGGGAAAACUCACUAGUUUAAGACAAGAGUAGGAUUGACAGAUUAAUAGCUCUUUCUUGAUUUCUUGGAUGGUGAUGCAUGGCCGUUUUUAGUUCGUGAAUAUGAUUUGUCUGGUUAAUUCCGAUAACGAACGAGAUCUUANCCUGCUAAUUAGCGGCAAAUACGANAUAUUCUUACGNGGGACUGAAUACGGUUGANUUGCNUACUUUGAAGAAAAUAUNGGGAUACGUAACAGUUUCCCUUUYCCCUUUCNACUUANUUCGCUUNUCAUACUGUUUNNUUUUUCGNNUAAGAANGUAUUGCNUUGNNUGUAAAGNUUCUUA